rnacentral:rRNA from 1 species
CGCGUAGGCGGGGGACCAAGUCCGGGGUGAAAUCUUUCGGCUCAACCGGAAAACUGCCUUGGAUACUGGUCUUCUUGAGGGAGGUAGGGGCAGGUGGAACUUCCGGUGGAGCGGUGAAAUGCGUUGAUAUCGGAAGGAACGCCGGUAGCGAAAGCGACCUGCUGGAUCUCUUCUGACGCUGAGGCGCGAAAGCUAGGGGAGCGAACG